GGUUCACGGUGACUACAAGGAGGAUGUUGGUGUGAAGCUUGACAGGCCUGCUGAUGGAGAUGAGGUGAUUCCUGGAGCAGAGGAGGUUGCUGCUGCUGAGUAGAGGAUAGAAGUUGCUAUUUUGCUGCUUCAUAUCUAGAAGAUGAUAUAUGUGCCACCUGGGUGUCGUGAACUUUGUAGUCAGUUUUGAUGGCUGAUUUCUUGAGUACUUCUGUCGACAUUCCUAGCCAGUGUUCCGCUAUCUUAUUUUGUUCGUGUUACUUUCUGGAUGGAGGUAAUGAGUUGAAAACUAAAUAUUUAGUUUAUUCCUGUCCUGUGUUUUUAUGUUUGAAUAGAACUUGUCCUCUGUUUUGUUAGUUUAUCUCAGUACAACUUUUUGUUUGCGUGCAUACAAGAUGUUUGCAGCUUGCAAUGGCUCCAGCUCCUCCGAGCCAAGAUAGCCCUCCGUCUUAUUUGUAGGAGUAUGAAAGUAAAAUUAGCAAUGUGCUCCCCCAGUUAGUGGCACAGAAAGUGAAGAUGCGGAAAAGAAAAUGGAUCGUAACAGCCAAUUUGGCGUUCGAUUUUUGAGUAGUAUUUAUUGACUGCAAUAUGUACAUACGCAAAAAUGGAUAGAAAUUGAUGUAGCGACAAGUAAUUUGGGACGAAGAUAUUGUGACAAGGGUUCCAAAACUGUUGUUGCAUCAGCAGGUAAUUUUGAAGAGAUCAAAC
rnacentral:lncRNA from 1 species